rnacentral:rRNA from 1 species
AUUGAACGCUGGCGGCAUGCUUUACACAUGCAAGUCGAACGGCAACAGGCCGCAAGGUGCUGACGAGUGGCGAACGGGGAGUAAUGCAUCGGAACGUGCCCAGUCGUGGGGGAUAACGCAGCGAAAGCUGCGCUAAUACCGCAUACGAUCUCUGGAUGAAAGCGGGGGACCGAAAGGCCUCGCGCGAUUGGAGCGGCCGAUGUCAGAUUAGGUAGUUGGUGGGGUAAAGGCCCACCAAGCCAACGAUCUGUAGCUGGUCUGAGAGGACGACCAGCCACACUGGGACUGAGACACAGCCCAGACUCCUACGGGAGGCAGCGGUGGGGAAUUUUGGACAAUGGGCGCAAGCCUGAUCCAGCAAUGCCGCGUGCAGGAAGAAGGCCUUCGGGUUGUAAACUGCUUUUGUACGGAACGAAACGGUCCGGGUUAAUACCCUGGGCUAAUGACGGUACCGUAAGAAUAAGCACCGGCUAACUACGUGCCAGCAGCCGCAGUAAUAC